ACAGGGAUCUGAGAUUAUAUUAUUUAUUUUUUAAUCUGUUUAUUGCACGUCUUUUCUCAAAGGAAUAUAAGCUCUCUGGGGGUAGGAAUUUUUCUGUUCGUGGCCCCAGUGCCUGAAAAAAUGUCUUGUAUACCAACAUCCACGCUUGAGGUCUUGAGCCACCAAAUAAGAAGACUGACUGCCCUGAGGUUGCCAUGCUGUACGGAAGGCAGCCACAUAGAAAGGCUGUCUGCUCUAGCUGCUGUCCUAGACUUUGAACCCUUCCUGCUCAGGAGCCAGACAUCCAUGUAAGAACACAGCAAGAAGAUGGCCAUCUGCAAACCAGGAAGUGGGUCCUCCCCAGCACUGAAUCUGCCGGUACCUUGAUCUUGGACUUCCUCGCCUUCAAAACUGUGAGAAAUAAAUAUUUGUUGCUUAAA